rnacentral:rRNA from 1 species
UGGGGAAUUUUGGACAAUGGGCGAAAGCCUGAUCCAGCAAUGCCGCGUGUGUGAAGAAGGCCUUCGGGUUGUAAAGCACUUUUGUCCGGAAAGAAAUCCUUGGCUCUAAUACAGUCGGGGGAUGACGGUACCGGAAGAAUAAGCACCGGCUAACUACGUGCCAGCAGCCGCGGUAAUACGUAGGGUGCAAGCGUUAAUCGGAAUUACUGGGCGUAAAGCGUGCGCAGGCGGUUUGCUAAGACCGAUGUGAAAUCCCCGGGCUCAACCUGGGAACUGCAUUGGUGACUGGCAGGCUAGAGUAUGGCAGAGGGGGGUAGAAUUCCACGUGUAGCAGUGAAAUGCGUAGAGAUGUGGAGGAAUACCGAUGGCGAAGGCAGCCCCCUGGGCCAAUACUGACGCUCAUGCACGAAAGCGUGGGGAGCAAACAGGAUUAGAUACCCUGGUAGUCCACGCCCUAAACGAUGUCAACUAGUUGUUGGGGAUUCAUUUCCUUAGUAACGUAGCUAACGCGUGAAGUUGACCGCCUGGGGAGUACGUCGCAAGAUUAAAACUCAAAUGAAUUG